CCUCAGGUGAUGGUAUACGUACAGACACACCCUCAUGUGCGUGCAUGUCCUCAGGUGGAUGGUAUACGUACAGACACACCCUCAUGUGCGUGCAUGUCCUCAGGUGGAUGGUAUACGUACAGACACACCCUCAUGUGCG